GAUGAAGAACGCAGCGAAAUGCGAUAAGUAGUGUGAAUUGCAGAAUUCAGUGAAUCAUCGAAUCUUUGAACGCACAUUGCGCCCCUUGGUAUUCCAUGGGGCAUGCCUGUUCGAGCGUCAUUUGUACCUUCAAGCUUUGCUUGGUGUUGGGUGUUUGUCCAUUCUCUUGCAGAGGGACUCGCCUUAAAGUAAUUGGCAGCCAGUGUUUUGGUUUUGAAGCGCAGCACAAGUCGCGAUUCAACGCUAUACGCCAGCUUCCACAAGCCUUUUUCACUUUUGACCUCGGAUCAGGUAGGGAUACCCGCUGAACUUAAGCAUAUCAAUAAGCGGAGG
rnacentral:misc_RNA from 1 species